UACGUAGGGGGGCAAGCGUUGUCCGGAUUUAUUGGGCGUAAAGAGCGUGUAGGCGGCCAUGCAGGUCAGCUGUGAAAACUCGAGGCUCAACCUCGAGACGUCGGUUGAAACCGUAUGGCUAGAGUCCGGAAGAGGAGAGUGGAAUUCCCGGUGUAGCGGUGAAAUGCGCAGAUAUCGGGAAGAACACCCAUGGCGAAGGCAGCUCUCUGGGACGGUACUGAC
rnacentral:rRNA from 1 species